rnacentral:rRNA from 1 species
CCUACGGGGGGCAGCAGUGAGGAAUAUUGGUCAAUGGGCGCGAGCCUGAACCAGCCAAGUAGCGUGAAGGAUGACUGCCCUACGGGUUGUAAACUUCUUUUAUAAAGGAAUAAAGUGAGGCACGUGUGCCUUUUUGUAUGUACUUUAUGAAUAAGGAUCGGCUAACUCCGUGCCAGAAGCCGCGGUAAUACGGAGGAACCGAGCGUUAUCCGGAUUUGUUGGGUUUAAAGGGUGCGUAGAUGGGUUCGUAAGGCAGUUGUGAAAGUUUGCGGGUCAACCGUAAACUUGCAAUUGAUACUGGCAGUCGUGAGUAGAGUUGAUGUAGGCGGAAUUCGUGGUGUAGCGGUGAAAUGCUUAGAUAUCACGAAGAACUCCGAUUGCGAAGGCAGCUUACUAAACUGCCACUGACAUUGAUGCUCGAAAGUGUGGGUAUCAAACAGGAUUAGAUACCCGAGUAGUC